UGGCGAGAGUUCUUGAUGGCAUGGUGAGGACUGAGAAAGAAGAGCAGAUUCUAGAUAAAGAGUAUGGUGGAGAAGAAGACCAAGGUGAUUUAUCUCUCUUGUGAACACAAUCAAGUUUAACCCGAGAAAUUGGUUAAUUGGUGCUUAUUGUUAGUAACUAAAUAUUCCUUAAGUAUAUAAAGCACAGAAAAUGUCAUUGUAUGUAUCAGGAUGUUAUAUGCUAUUCAUGCUCUGAGAAAUAUUUCCUGUAGCUUUCCAGGUUAUGUGGGUUACCCUUGUGUUUGAUAGUCCAUUCUUGGUUGGUGAGUACAUUAUUUUUUAGAAACAUGAGUUUACCAAAAAUAUCUCUGGCCUAGGACCGUUAGUAAACAAUUAUCCAUUAUAAAGAAUAAAUGAAAUUUAGUGUCAGUAGUCCCCCAUCAAUAACCUUUAAUAUGGUUUCCUCAUGAAUUAUUACACUUUAGAGUUCAGAGGGUGCCAUGAUACUCAGCUUCUUAGAGCAGCUCAGCGACACCCCUUGCUGACGGUUUGAUCUUUCACUUUGUUGCUUUUCUACCGUCCAAUCUCACUGUUUGACGAAAACUUUUGUCACACCGCUGGUUAGUUUGGUAGAAUAGGUGCCAUUGAAUGAUACUCCCAGUUGCCUAUCAUGUAGGGAUUUUGAGGCAUUAUUUUGUGCUAUUGAUGAUAAUCCACUGUAUUAUAGUUAAUCUGUGUUGUAGAAGCUUUAGCUGAUCUGGUUUUGUAUCUUUCGAAAUAGAUUUGAAGAGGUUGCACAUGUUCUGUUUCAGGUACUCAUAGCAUCUACAGAGUGGGCCAAUAUUCGAAAAGAGCACAAGACUUGAGGAUUUGAGCAUGCUUGUAGGCUAGAAGCAUCAACUUCAGACUUCGUCACUUGUUGACAGUCUAAAAUUGACCCUGAACUGAUAUGGGCACUUGCUAAGCAAGAUGUCAAAGACAAGCACCAGCUGAAGAUGAAAUAGAAAAUACAACCGGUAAAGGCACCAACGAAGGAAAACCUUCAGGCGUCAAACAUGAUGGAAGGAUGUUGGAUGGUCAGGUAAUUAGUAUAAUCUACAUGCCUCAAUGGCCUUUGUGGGCUGCUGAUGAUCACCCCACAUACUAUGCAAUUUUACU